rnacentral:rRNA from 1 species
UACGGGGGGGGCAAGCGUUGUUCGGAAUUACUGGGCGUAGAGCGCACGUAGUCGGCUUUGUAAGUUAGAGGUGAAAGCCCAGGGCUCAACCCUGGAAUUGCCUUUAAGACUGCAUCGCUUGAACAUCGGAGAGGUAAGUGGAAUUCCGAGUGUAGAGGUGAAAUUCGUAGAUAUUCGGAAGAACACCAGUGGCGAAGGCGACUUACUGGACGAUUGUUGACGCUGAGGUGCGAAAGCGUGGGGAGCAAACAGG